rnacentral:rRNA from 1 species
GACGAACGCUGGCGGCGUGCUUAACACAUGCAAGUCGAACGGAAAGGCCCUGCUUUUGUGGGGUGCUCGAGUGGCGAACGGGUGAGUAACACGUGAGUAACCUGCCCUUGACUUUGGGAUAACUUCAGGAAACUGGGGCUAAUACCGGAUAGGAGCUCCUGCUGCAUGGUGGGGGUUGGAAAGUUUCGGCGGUUGGGGAUGGACUCGCGGCUUAUCAGCUUGUUGGUGGGGUAGUGGCUUACCAAGGCUUUGACGGGUAGCCGGCCUGAGAGGGUGACCGGCCACAUUGGGACUGAGAUACGGCCCAGACUCCUACGGAAGGCAGCAGUGGGGAAUAUUGCACAAUGGGCGGAAGCCUGAUGCAGCAACGCCGCGUGCGGGAUGACGGCCUUCGGGUUGUAAACCGCUUUCGCCUGUGACGAAGCGUGAGUGACGGUAAUGGGUAAAGAAGCACCGGCUAACUACGUG